rnacentral:lncRNA from 1 species
GGAAGGAAAGGAAAUCGCGAUCAAGGAGCACCGUGUGACCAUAGAAUCUGAAAAAAAUAAGGUAAGUUUCAUCUUUUUCAUUCUUUUCAUCUCUAUUUUCCAAAAAUCCCUUUUCUUAUUUCACACUAAUCGGCAUGUAGGUGUGAAAUCUGUUGUCCAAACUUCGAAGCAAGGUAGGGAGCUGCAGGGUGGCUGAGAGGAGACCACCGGGAUCCAAACUGAGGCUAAAU